rnacentral:rRNA from 1 species
GACGAACGCUGGCGGCGUGCUUAACACAUGCAAGUCGAACGGAAAGGCCCUGCUUUUGUGGGGUGCUCGAGUGGCGAACGGGUGAGUAACACGUGAGUAACCUGCCCUUGACUUAGGGAUAACUUCAGGAAACUGGGGCUAAUACCGGAUAGGAGCUCCUGCUGCAUGGUGGGGGUUGGAAAGUUUCGGCGGUUGGGGAUGGACUCGCGGCUUAUCAGCUUGUUGGUGGGGUAGUGGCUUACCAAGGCUUUGACGGGUAGCCGGCCUGAGAGGGUGACCGGCCACAUUGGGACUGAGAUACGGCCCAGACUCCUACGGGAGGCAGCGGUGGGGAAUAUUGCACAAUGGGCGGAAGCCUGAUGCAGCAACGCCGCGUGCGGGAUGACGGCCUUCGGGUUGUAAACCGCUUUCGCCUGUGACGAAGCGUGAGUGACGGUAAUGGGUAAAGAAGCACCGGCUAACUACGUG